GGGUCGAUGCCCGAGCGGUUAAUGGGGACGGACUGUAAAUUCGUUGACGAUAUGUCUACGCUGGUUCAAAUCCAGCUCGGCCC
rnacentral:tRNA from 1 species